rnacentral:rRNA from 1 species
UAGGGAAUCUUCCGCAAUGGACGCAAGUCUGACGGAGCAACGCCGCGUGAGUGAAGAAGGAUUUCGGUUCGUAAAACUCUGUUGUUAGAGAAGAACAGCGCAUAGAGUAACUGUUAUGCGUGUGACGGUAUCUAACCAGAAAGCCACGGCUAACUACGUGCCAGCAGCCGCGGUAAUACGUAGGUGGCAAGCGUUGUCCGGAUGUAUUGGGCGUAAAGCGAGCGCAGGCGGUCAAUUAAGUCUGAUGUGAAAGCCCCCGGCUCAACCGGGGAGGGUCAUUGGAAACUGGUUGAAUUGAGGGCAGAAGAGGAGAGUGGAAUUCCAUGUGUAGCGGUGAAAUGCGUAGAUAUAUGGAGGAACACCAGUGGCGAAGGCGACUCUCUGGUAUGUAACUGACGCAGAGGCUAGAAAGCGUGGGUAGCAAACAGG